UACAUAGGUCCCAAGCGUUAUCCGGAUUUACUGGGCGUAAAGCGUCCGUAGCCGGCUUAUUAAGUCCGCAUUCAAAUCCCGGGGCUCAACCUCGGACAGGGUGCGGAUACUGGUAAGCUAGAAUAUGAUAGAGGUUAGUAGAAUUUCCGGUGGAGGGGUGAAAUCCGUUGAUAUCGGAAGGAAUACCGAAAGCGAAGGCAGCUAACUAUAUCAUUAUUGACGGUCAGGGACGAAAGUAUGGGUAGCAAACGGG
rnacentral:rRNA from 1 species